ACUGGUUGUAACAGAUUGUGGAAAAGCAUCACCAGCAGCACUGGACCAAUCAGGAGAGAGAAGACACAGAGGACUGAAGGGACUCAGAAAAUCCUGCUGGAAAUCCCAAGAUGAAGUUUCCUGAUACAACAGGGGGACACCUGAGGACACAGAAUAAAGAAGGACCAUGUGAAGCAGGUCCUUCAAUAACAAACCAAGCAUGAGUUGACCAACACUUACAGCAGCAGGUUACUUUGUCCAUCUACUGGUUGUAACAGAUGAUGGUGAAGGUUGAGGAGAUAAUGACUUGAUCAGAAACUGUGGCCGACAACUGCAAACGCGCAGCAAACAGCAAAACGAGCUGCAAACAGACUCAUGAAGAGGACGGUCAGAGUCGUCCAUAGCUUUCUUGACUCUUGUGAAGAAUCUUUCUUUGCGUCAUCUCCAGAGGUUCCACAGUCAUCUCCAGAACAGAACCAGAACCAAUCCAGCCUUCUUUAUCAGAUUGUUGAACCUUUUGAGGUUCCUGGCUCUGAUGCUGCUGCACCAACAGAUGAUAGCAGAAGAGAUGACACUCUCAGCAGCAGACUUAAAGAUCUGCAGCAACUUGCUGCAAACCUUGAAGGAUCUUAGCUUCCUGGAGAAGUGCAGUCUGCUCUGUCUCUUUUUGUAGACGGCUUGUCCAUGUGGUUCCUGCCUUCUGUUGCGUC